rnacentral:rRNA from 1 species
UACGGUAGGUGACAAGCGUUGUCCGGAUUUACUGGGCGUAAAGAGCGCGCAGGCGGUCGUUCAAGUCGAGUGUGAAAGCCCCCGGCUCAACUGGGGAGGGUCAUUCGAUACUGAUCGACUCGAAGGCAGGAGAGGGAAGUGGAAUUCCCGGUGUAGUGGUGAAAUGCGUAGAUAUCGGGAGGAACACCAGUGGCGAAGGCGACUUCCUGGCCUGUUCUUGACGCUGAGGCGCGAAAGCUAGGGGAGCAAACGGG